rnacentral:pre_miRNA from 1 species
ACAACAUACGGGCCUUCGGUCUACCGAGCAAUAUCACCCGCUCGAUGGAAAAUUUUCCCUUGGUCGU